rnacentral:misc_RNA from 1 species
AUUUGCAAGCUCAAUCACCUAUCUCCCUCCAUCUUUCCCCCUAUCUCCAUGAAGAAUAUUUCAUGGAUUCUGCUGGUUUUCUGUAUUUUCAUUCAAUUGCAAAAUACUUCUUCUCAAGAUCCCAACACGUGGCUUAAUAUAGACUGCGGGAUAGAAGCACCCCGUGUGGGACCCAACUUACUCUCGUGGAAUAUGGACCAUCACUUCACUCAAUCGGGCAUCAACAAGCGCCUCCCCGAAAAGCAGCCGCUCGAUGAGAUGACCACUCUCCGAUUCUUUCCUAAUCAGAUGGACCAAAAUUGUUACACAAUACCCGCAUACAAGCGGACCCUGCAGUACAUAAUUGGAGCUGGGUUCUACUACGGCAAUUAUGAUGGGCUCUCAAAACCACCAACGUUUGAUCUGUAUUUAGACGGCCAAAUAUGGUCAACAGUCAAGACGUCGACGAUCGGAGGGCCGAUAUAUGUUGAAGCCAUAUAUGUGACUCAUGGGUCGGGUAGUAUUGGAGUGUGCUUGAUUCAAACAAGGGAUGGAGAAAUCCCUUUUAUUUCUUCACUUGAAGCUAUGCCUUUGUGGACUCAUUUGUACUCACAAAUGGAGAACAAUUCCACUUUCACUCUCGUCAAUAGAACCAACCUUGGUGGUAAUGAAAUUAGGUACACCGGACUUUUCUCGGAUGAAAAAUACAACAGAAUAUGGACAAGUGGAGCCAUCCCACAAAACUGUAAACAAGUCCCUACCCUACCAGAUUCCACCACCGCCACACUAGAAAACGACCCCCCAAAAUUAGUAUUACAAGACUCCAUCGUAUCCAACACAUCUGAUCCAAUAAUCUUGACCGUUGACAAUCCACCAAAUUGGACCUCACGAACCGCUUAUCUUGUACUCUACUUCACAGAGAUGGCAACCAGGCCCACUCUAAACGAUACGAGAAUCAUGGACAUUGAAAUCAACCGUCAGAUGAUGUACACGGUGGGAGCUGAGAUCAAUCAGUGUAAAGUGGUGACACUGUAUCCUGUGCCUCUUGUGGGUCCUACAAUCAAUAUAAAGUUGGCCUCAUCUAGGUUAUCAACCUUGCCUUCGAUGAUCAGCGCAAUGGAAGUUUUUACGAGGGCUAAUUAUAAUCCUCCUCCCAGCUCCGCGGCGGCUCCCGGAACAAAGCCCACCAGUGGUGCAUGGAGAAAUUUUUUUUUACCUUGCAUUGUUUUCUUUUAUAUUUCAUGUGCAAUUGCGUUUUUCUAAUUGUAUUGUUGUUGUAAUCGAU